GGGUGACUGCGUACCUUUUGUAUAAUGGGUCAGCGACUUAUAUUCUGUAGCAAGGUUAACCGUAUAGGGGAGCCGCAGGGAAACCGAGUCUUAACUGGGCGUUAAGUUGCAGGGUAUAGACCCGAAACCCGGUGAUCUAGCCAUGGGCAGGUUGAAGGUUGGGUAACACUAACUGGAGGACCGAACCGACUAAUGUUGAAAAAUUAGCGGAUGACCUGUGGCUGGGGGUGAAAGGCCAAUCAAACCGGGAGAUAGCUGGUUCUCCCCGAAAGCUAUUUAGGUAGCGCCUCGUGAACUCAUCCUCGGGGGUAGAGCACUGUUUCGGCUAGGGGGCCAUCCCGGCUUACCAACCCGAUGCAAACUGCGAAUACCGAGGAAUGUUAUCACGGGAGACACACGGCGGGUGCUAACGUCCGUCGUGAAGAGGGAAACAACCCAGACCGCCAGCUAAGGUCCCAAAGUCAUGGUUAAGUGGGAAACGAUGUGGGAAGGCACAGACAGCCAGGAUGUUGGCUUAGAAGCAGCCAUCAUUUAAAGAAAGCGUAAUAGCUCACUGGUCGAGUCGGCCUGCGCGGAAGAUGUAACGGGGCUAAACCAUGCACCGAAGCUGCGGCAGCGACACUUAGGUGUUGUUGGGUAGGGGAGCGUUCUGUAAGCCGUCGAAGGUGGCCUGUGAGGGCUGCUGGAGGUAUCAGAAGUGCGAAUGCUGACAUAAGUAACGAUAAAGCGGGUGAAAAGCCCGCUCGCCGGAAGACCAAGGGUUCCUGUUCAACGUUAAUCGGAGCAGGGUGAGUCGACCCCUAAGGCGAGGCCGAAAGGCGUAGUCGAUGGGAAACAGGUUAAUAUUCCUGUACUCGGUGUUACUGCGAAGGGGGGACGGAGAAGGCUAUAUC
rnacentral:rRNA from 1 species